rnacentral:lncRNA from 1 species
CACCCUGGACAAAGGGCAGGGACAACAUAGGGAUGUCAUUUUGCAUUCCCAGCUGCUGCUGCUGUUCAGGAAGGCCUAACAGGAGGUGGGGUGGAGCCUGGAGCCCAGAGUAGGGAAAGGAAGGCCGGGCAAGGGGAAGGAGCUGCCAAGGUCUUCCCAGCUCCUCUUUCCCCUUGAAGUCACUUUUUCCCCUUGGAAGCUUCUAGAGAUAGACAUAUAAAAUACUCCCCCUGAGAAAACAGUGGACCUGGAUCAUUUCUGGAGAGCAGAAGUGCUGAACCCACAAUAUUUAGGUGCCCCUGGGCUUCUUCCGCCCCUGCUGCCCUUACUCUGGGGGAGGCACAUUGGUGAUGAGCUGAUGUGACUCGAGUACUGCUGUGACGGAGGAGGCUGUUACUCCUCCUCUUUGCCCUCCCAGGAGCAGGGACCCUGGGGCGUCUGGGACCUGUCAGGCACGGGGGAUGGCUCUGGUAUUUCAUGGCAGCUCAAUGCCCCACAUGCCUGAAAUUCUGAUGCGUCCACUCCACCGGCCUUCUGUGGCUGUCCCCGUGACCUGGAGGCUGUCCUCGGCCUCUUCAAGCCUGCAGCCCCCACAAGCGGAACUCAGCCCAGCAGGGCCUAGAAGAAUGUGGAGCUGGGGACUGAGUGCUGGGAAAGGAAUCUGGGUGGAAAUUUCCAUGACUCUUCUGCUCAAGCAAAGACUGCAGCUGAGGCCCAAGAUGUCAACAGAGACCAGGGCCCAGGUCACAAAGGGUCACUUUUCCUCUCUCUGGGCUCUUUAUCACCUACUGCCCCACCCUGAGCCAAGGCCAUAAACCUCAUGCAGUCCAGCCUCCUCUGUUCCUGCCCCCCCCACCCCCACCCCCACUGUUUGUGGCAGCAAGAUCCCUACUUUCCCUACUUGCACUGACCUCCCUCCACUGCUCCCCACAGUCGUGGCCACUCUCCUGGCAGUGGGAGCCCCCCAACUUCAGGAGCCAGGUCAAGACCCCUUGAACCUGAACAGUCAGUCCAUGCUGCAGAUUCCUGCAGCCUUCCCUGCCCAGUGACGUCACCAGCACGCCUGGGACUGUGCCCUUCAUUUGGUGAAUCAGCUGUUUUUUUUAAUUUUUAUUUUCUUCUCAUUGUCCAAACGCAUCUCAGCCCUUGUUAUCCUGAGCUAUGGUGUGUGGCUUUUAUUGCUGUUUGUCAUUGUCACCUGUCUUGAAAACAGAGUUCAUGUCUUAUAGUUCUGCCUCAGCUCAGGACGGCUCUGCACAUGACUUAGGCAGCAUCCGCCCACACAGUCAGCCCAUGCAGCCUUGGGCUGGUGCUAGGGGCUCUGAGAGGCUCACCCCAGUCCCAGCUGGUGGUCUCUGUGGAUUCCCCAGCCAGAUCAGGCAGAAGUGUUUGUGGUUUGCCCUCCCUGUCUGCCCCCAGCCAGAAUUCCAACCUGGCCAGUUCUAAAAGCUGAACCGUGAAGACUCAGCCCUGCCUGGAGCAGCCUUCCCUGGAGCCUGGCUGACUGCACCCACCAGCCGUCAGCUCUGGCCUAGAAACUUAGGGGUCCUGGAGACAGCAGGUCCUGCUACCUCCCUGUCCUCCAUUCAGCCUAAAUGUCCACCUCCUCAGGGGCCUGCCUUCAGCUCACCUGCAGACCAUAGAAGUCUCCCUGCUGUGCACUCAUCCCCUGCGCUUUGGCACUCCCUACUCCGCCCCAGGUGUUCUGCAACAUCGGUAGCAUGACAGAGGGCUUCUUAGAGAGAGGGCGCCCUUGCUACCAGGGUCCACAGGCUCAGUCUCAGCCUGGUUCCUGUUUGUGGUGCCCCUUUCUCAGGCCUGUGGGGAUGUCAGGAGCUUAGGACAGCGCCGGGCUCAAGAGAUGUGGCUACCUUCCCUCCUGCUUUCGGUACUCAGCGCAGGCAGGGUUCAGUGCAGCAAGUAACAGCUGUGGCUUACUGGAUUGUCUGCAACCAUUGGCGACUGAGAGAUCCCUGCAGCCCUCCCAGACCCUCGAUCUGACUGGAGCCAGGCCCACGUGGGGAAAGGGUUAAACGUUGGCAGUGACUUCACCCCUGCAUUGGAGCAGGCGGAGGCAGAGUAGGUAAAAAAAUCAGGACAGAGGCUGGUUGGAAUUUUCCAGCGUUCAUAAACAGGACCAGUCAGGGUUGCUAAGGGAGGUCACCAUGGAAACGGUCACGUGCGCCUGCCUCCUGGUUAUUCCACCCUGGUCAGGAGGAUGAUGCAAGCUCCGAGCCUCUUCAUUGGCUGCCACCUUCCUCUUGCCACCGAAAUCUGGUGGGAGAUUGGCUGAGGACAGUUGCUGGGCUGGAGCUAGCCUUUCCCUUUCUCCCCCAUCCCUCCCACAGGAACCUGCUGGAAGCUGUUCUGAACCAGAGAAGGAUGAAAAUAGCUGCCAAAGAUGUUGCCAUAGCAACUGCUUUCCUUCCUGACCUCCUUGGAAGUGAACUCCCUCAUUUUCCAGAGUAGUCAAGGAAUUUCUGUGCCUCUACCCAUGGCUUUGGUUACCAACUCAUCCCUGGGGGCCUUGGUUUCUUUCUGUGAAAUGGAAUAUUCAUUCCAGCACUCACCACCUUCUAGGCUGGAGUAAGGCUCCAACUUUGCAAAUGCUGUUAGUAAACUGUAGAGCUCCGUGCA